rnacentral:rRNA from 2 species
AGUAAGAUCCCAUGUAGACGACAUGGUUGAUAGGCCAGGUGUGGAAGAGCCGUGAGGUUUGGAGCUGACUGGUACUAAUAGAUCGAGGGCUUUACUUA